AUACGGAGGAUGCGGGCGUUAUCCGGAUUUAUUGGGUUUAAAGGGUGCGUAGGCUGUGCGUUAAGUCAGGGGUGAAAUGCCGUCGCUCAACGACGGAGCUGCCCUUGAUACUGGCGUGCUGGAGUACGGAUGCCGUUGGAGGAAUGAGUGGUGUAGCGGUGAAAUGCUUAGAUAUCACUCAGAACACCGAUUGCGAAGGCAUCUGACGAAUCCGUCACUGACGCUGAGGCACGAAAGCGUGGGGAUAGAACAGGAUUAGAUACCCUGGUAUUCCACGCCGUAAACGAUGAUGACUAACCGUCGGCGAUAGACAGCCGGUGGCCAAGCGAAAGCGAUAAGUCAUCCACCUGGGGAGUACGUCGGCAACGAUGAAACUCAAAUGAAUUGACGGGG
rnacentral:rRNA from 1 species